rnacentral:rRNA from 1 species
AGAGUUUGAUCCUGGCUCAGAUUGAACGCUGGCGGCAUGCCUAACACAUGCAAGUCGAGCGGCAGCGCGGGGGCAACCCUGGCGGCGAGCGGCGGACGGGUGAGUAAGGCAUCGGAACGUAUCCUUGAGUGGGGGAUAACGCAGCGAAAGUUGUGCUAAUACCGCAUAAGCUCUGAGGAGGAAAGCGGGGGACCGAAAGGCCUCGCGCUGAAGGAGCGGCCGAUGUCCGAUUAGCUAGUUGGUGAGGUAAAGGCUUACCAAGGCGACGAUCGGUAGCUGGUCUGAGAGGAUGAUCAGCCACACUGGGGCUGAGACACGGCCCAGACUCCUACGGGAGGCGAC